CCUACGGGAGGCAGCAGUGAGGAAUAUUGGUCAAUGGCCGGAAGGCUGAACCAGCGAUGCCGCGUGAAGGUCAGUGCCCUAUGGGCGUUAAACUUCUUUUGUGCGGGAGCAAUAAUGGUCACGUGUGGCCAGACGAGAGUACCGUAAGAAUAAGCAUCGGCUAACUCCGGGCCAGCAGCCGCGGUAAUACGGGGGAUGCAAGUGUUAUCCGGAUUUAUUGGGUUUAAAGGGUGCGUAAGCUGGGAGGUAAGUCAGCGGUGCAAUGCCCCCGCUCAACGGGGGGAAGUGCCAUUGAUACUGCCUAGCUGGAAUGCGGAUGCCGUGGGAGGAAUGUGUGGGGUAGCGGUGAAAUGCAUAGAUAUCACACAGAACACCGAUUGCGAAGGCAUCUCACGAAUCCGCGAUUGACGCUGAUGCACGAAAGCGUGGGUAUCAAACAGGAUUAGAUACCCUUGUAGUC
rnacentral:rRNA from 1 species